rnacentral:tRNA from 1 species
AAGUGCCGUAGAAUAGAGUUACUUCGUUUGGGACGAUGGGGUUGCGGGUUCGAGUCCCGUCGCGCUGACCA